rnacentral:rRNA from 1 species
GGAUUAGGCAUGCAAGUCGAACGAGAAAGGUUUCUUCGGAGACCGAGUAAAGUGGCGGACGGGUGAGUAAUACAUAGAUAACUUGCCCCUGAGAUGGGGAUAACGCUUCGAAAGGAGUGCUAAUACCCAAUGUCGUCUCGGACCGUUGGGUCUGAGAUGAAAGGAGGCCUCUGACUCAAGCUUCUGCUCAGGGAGAGGUUUAUGUCCUAUCAGCUAGUUGGCGGGGUAACGGCCCACCAAGGCUUCGAUGGGUAGCCGACCUGAGAGGGUGACCGGCCACACUGGGACUGAGACACUGCCCAGACUCCUACGGGAGGCUGCAGUCGAGAAUCUUCCGCAAUGCGCGAAAGCGUGACGGAGCGACGCCGCGUGGGUGAUGAAGGCCUUCGGGUUGUAAAGCCCUGUUAGCUAUUAUGAAACACGGGCGGUGAAUAACUGUCCCGUCUGACGUAAGUAGCAGAGGAAGCACCGGCUAACUACGUGCCAGCAGCCGCGGUAAUACGUAGGGUGCGAACGUUGUUCGGAAUCACUGGGCAUAAAGCGCGCGUAGGCGGUUUUGUAAGUCAUGUGUGAAAUCCCUCGGCUUAACCGAGGAACUGCAUUUGAUACUGCAGAGCUAGAGUACAGGAGGGGAGAGCGGAAUUCCUGGUGGAGCGGUGAAAUGCGUAGAUAUCAGGAGGAACGCCGGUGGCGAAAGCGGCUCUCUGGUCUGUCACUGACGCUGAGGCGCGAAAGCUAGGGGAGCAAACGGGAUUAGAUACCCCGGUAGUCCUAGCCCUAAACGAUGGGCACUAAGUAGAGGGGUUUU